rnacentral:rRNA from 1 species
UUUUAGUCCUUUCAGAGGAACCUGUCCCGUAAUCGAUAUUCCACGUUAAAUCUUACUUAAUUUGGUCAUUCAGUUUGUAUAUCGCCGUCGUCAGAAUGUCCUAUUAGGGUUCAAAUUUUCUCUAAUUUAUAUAUUGAAAAGAUGUCAGGUCAAGGUGCAGUUAAUGGUUAAGUGGAGGUGGGUUACAAUAAAUUUAUUUACACGGACAGUUAGUUGAAAGUUAUAGACUUGAAGGUGGAUUUGAAAGUAAUUUUGUACAGUAUAAUAUAUUGAUUUUGGCUCUAAAACAUGCACACAUCGCCCGUCGCUCUCGUUAUUUCAUAUGAGAUAAGUC